rnacentral:rRNA from 1 species
ACACUCCUACGGGAGGCAGCAGUGGGGAAUAUUGCACAAUGGGCGCAAGCCUGAUGCAGCCAUGCCGCGUGUGUGAAGAAGGCCUUCGGGUUGUAAAGCACUUUCAGCGGGGAGGAAGGCGAUACGGUUAAUAACCGUGUUGAUUGACGUUACCCGCAGAAGAAGCACCGGCUAACUCCGUGCCAGCAGCCGCGGUAAUACGGAGGGUGCAAGCGUUAAUCGGAAUUACUGGGCGUAAAGCGCACGCAGGCGGUCUGUCAAGUCGGAUGUGAAAUCCCCGGGCUCAACCUGGGAACUGCAUUCGAAACUGGCAGGCUUGAGUCUUGUAGAGGGGGGUAGAAUUCCAGGUGUAGCGGUGAAAUGCGUAGAGAUCUGGAGGAAUACCGGUGGCGAAGGCGGCCCCCUGGACAAAGACUGACGCUCAGGUGCGAAAGCGUGGGGAGCAAACAGGAUUAGAAACCCUAGUAGUCCCAUGA